UUUAUGGAGAGUUUGAUCCUGGCUCAGGAUGAACGCUGGCGGCGUGCCUAAUACAUGCAAGUCGAGCGAACGGACGAGAAGCUUGCUUCUCUGAUGUUAGCGGCGGACGGGUGAGUAACACGUGGAUAACCUACCUAUAAGACUGGGAUAACUUCGGGAAACCGGAGCUAAUACCGGAUAAUAUUUUGAACCGCAUGGUUCAAAAGUGAAAGACGGUCUUGCUGUCACUUAUAGAUGGAUCCGCGCUGCAUUAGCUAGUUGGUAAGGUAACGGCUUACCAAGGCAACGAUGCAUAGCCGACCUGAGAGGGUGAUCGGCCACACUGGAACUGAGACACGGUCCAGACUCCUACGGGAGGCAGCAGUAGGGAAUCUUCCGCAAUGGGCGAAAGCCUGACGGAGCAACGCCGCGUGAGUGAUGAAGGUCUUCGGAUCGUAAAACUCUGUUAUUAGGGAAGAACAUAUGUGUAAGUA
rnacentral:rRNA from 1 species